rnacentral:lncRNA from 1 species
CCAUGAGCCAAAAUAAACCUCCCUUCCUUUAAGUCAUGGUAUUUCAGCCCAUCAAUAGGAAAGUGACGAAUACAACAUCACUAAGAGAAACAAUUGCAAUUUAUAGUAAUGAGAUAGGGAAGAUGACAACCAAAGAAGUCAAUUCUAGUGAAUAUUAUGGAAUUGAAAACUAUGCUAAAAGGACAAAGAUUUGUACUCUGCUACUCUUCAAAACGUAACAUUCAAAAAUGGAAUUUUCAGUGAACUUCUGUAUAUAAAAUUGUUCCUUGGUGUCAGCAUAAGUGAGAGACUGGUUUCAGGACCUCUGAAGAUACUCAGGUCUGUGGAUGCUCAAGACUCAGGUAAAAUGGCAGAGUAUUUUAUGGAAACUGCAAUCCUUCCAUACACAUUAAAUCAUCUUUAAAUUAUUUAUGAUACCUAAUGUGGUGUAAAUGCUCUGUAAAUGGCUGUUAC